GAAUCUGAACGUUGGCCUGCCUUGCUAGAUUGGGGAAGUUCUCCUGGGUAAUAUCCUGAAGAGUGUUUUCCAACUUGGUUCCAUUCUCCCCAUCACUUUCAGGUACACCUAUCAGACGUAGAUUUGGUCUUUUCACAUAGUCCCAUAUUUCUUGGAGGCUUUGUUCAUUUCUUUUUAUUCUUUUUUCUCUAAACUUCCCUUCUCGCUUCAUUUCAUUCAUUUCAUCUUCCAUCACUGAUACCCUUUCUUCCAGUUGAUUGCAUUGACUCCUGAGGCUUCUGCAUUCUUCAUGUAGUUCUCGAGCCUUGGUUUUCAGCUCCAUCAGCUCCUUUAAGCACUUCUCUGUAUUGGUUAUCAGUUUCCUUCUUAUAAGGGCGCUAAUACCAUCAAAUCACCAGGAUCCUACCAUCAUGAUCUAAUAGAAACAUUUCUUAACCACUUGAUUAUAACUAAGGGUAAAUCAUAACAUAACCUAACAGGGAAAAGGCUGAGUCUGCUAUGGGAGCUGUAGGACCUAGUCAACAUGUAGAAUCAGGAGCUGAAAAAAUAUCCAAACUUAUCAAGGCUUAUAACAUGCGAAAUUUGAAUUGACAUUGACACCUAUGAGGGCAAGACUCCGUCUCAAAAAAAAAAAAAAAAAGGUUGUGAGGGAGUUAUAAAUACAGGCUUCAGAACCAGACUACAGCGCUAACAUUCAAAUCCCAGUCUCAGCAUUUUCUGUGUGAUUUCAGGUAGAUUUUUUUAACUUCUCUGUGUUCAUUUUACUUUGAGCUCUGUGAAUAGUAAGGUUGGUCAAUGAUCUUGACUCCAGAAUGAAUUUCUACUAACCGGCUCAUCUAAACAUCUAGAUCCAGCAGCACAUUAAAAAGCUUAUCCACCAUGAUCAAGUGGGCUUCAUCCCUGGGAUGCAAGGCUGGUUCAAUAUACACGAUAUUUGGGUUCUUUUUUGGUUUCAUGUAAAUUUUAGAAUAGUUUUUUUUUCUAAUUCUGUGAAAAAUGUCAUUGGGAGUUUGAUAGGAAUAGCGUUGAAUUGUAAAUUGCUUAUGACAGUAUGGCCAUUUUAACAAUAUUGAUUCUUCCUAUCCUUGAGGAUAAAAUGUUUUUCCAUUUGAUUGUAGUAUUUAUGAUUUAUUUCUAGGUAUUUUUGAUAGCUAUUAUAAAUGAACUGCCUUCUUGAUUUAUUUUUUCCAAUUUUAUUAUUGGUAUAUAGAAAUGGUAUUAAUUUUUUGUAUGUUGAUUUUUUGUUCUACAACUUUACUGAAUUUGUUUCAUCAGUUCUAAGAGUUUUUUUGAUGACAUGUUUUGGUUUUUAAAAAUAGAAAAUCAUGUGGUUUGCAAAGAGAGGCAAUUUGACUUUCUCUUUUCCAAUUUGGAUGGUUAUUUCUUUCUCUCACCUGAUUGUUUUGGCUAGGAUUUCCAGUACUAUGUUCAAUAGUAGAGCUGAAUGUGGGUAUCCUUGUUUUGUUCCAGUUCUUAGAGAAAUGGUUUUCCAUUUUUCCCCAUUCAGUAUGAUGUCAGCUGUGAGUUUGUCAUAUAAGGUCUUAUUAUUUUGAGGUAUGUUCAUUCUAUGGGUAGUUUGUUGAGAGUUUUAAUCAUAAAGGGAAGUUAAUUUUUUUCACGUUUUUCUGCAUUAUUGAGAUGACUAUAUAAUUUUUGUUCUUCACUCCAUUUGAAGACUGAAACAAAGGUUCAACCCCCCACCCCAUCGACACACUAAUGGACCCUUGGUAUGGUUUGGCUAUAUCCCCACCCAAAUCUCAUCUUGAAUUGUAGUUCCCAUAAUCCCCACAUGUGGGAGGGGCCUGGUGGGAGGUAACUGAAUCUUGGGGGUGGUUACCCCAUGCUGCUGUUCUCAUGAUAGUGAGUGAGUUCUCACAAGAUCUAUGGUUUUAUAAGGGGCUUUCCCCCCUUUUGCUUGGCACUUCUUGCUGCUGCCAAGUGAAGAUGAACGUGUUUGCUUCUUCUUCUGCCAUGGUUGUAAGUUUCCUGAGGCCUCCUCAGCUAGCCUGAACUGUGAGUCAAUUAAACUUCUUUCCUUUAUAAAUUACCAAGACUUGGGUGUGUCUUUAUUAGCAUAAAAUUAGUGUGAGAAUGGACUAAUACAACCCACUAGGCUAAAAUACCCCAAAACCUUUGAGUUCCUGGCCAUGAUGAGACAGAUUGGUUAUAUCCCACUCUUGGCUUCCCCUUACUUAUUAUUACCAGAUUUUCUCAAAAGCCAGCUUGGGAGAACAAAAGACAGGAAAACACCUCCACUUAUUUAAUUUGACCACCUGACACCACUCCUUUUGUUUUCAUGGUUCUAGCAUUGCAGUUCUCCUUGUCUACAAAGCAUUCCUUUUUGCUAAAUGACUGCUGGCUAUAGACUGGUUUUGACCAGUUUACUGAGUAUGUACAGAGAGGUGGCUCUGUGCCCUUUGUUUCACCUUUCUUUAGGUGAAAUUUGAAAAUUGGGCCACUUUAUGGGAUCUCAUAUGUCAUAAGGGAUUUAUUCUUUUUUAUU
rnacentral:lncRNA from 10 species